UACUAAGCGGAGGAAAAGAAACCAACGGGGAUUCCCAUAGUAACUGCGAGUGAAAGGGGAAGAGCCCAGCGCCGAAUCCUGCUGCUGGCAACGGUGGUAGGAACUGUGGCGUGAAGACAGUCCAUUCCAGUGCGGCUAGCUUGCGUAAGUUCUCCUGAGUGAGGCUCCAUCCCAUGGAGGGUGCAAGGCCCGUAUCGUAAGCAGUCGGUGCUGGUAUCAGCUGUCGGAGAGUCGCCUUGUUUGCGAGUACAAGGUGAAGUCGGUGGUAAACUCCAUCGAAGGCUAAAUAUGACCACGAGUCCGAUAGCGAACAAGUACCGUGAGGGAAAAUUGAAAAGCACUUUGAAGAGAGAGCGAAACAGUGCGUGAAACCGCUUAGAGGCAAGCAGAUGGGGCCUCGAAGGCAAAGCAGUGAAUUCAGCUGGUAGUCCGUAGUGCCGGCCUGUUUGUAGACCGCAAGGCUACGGUAGGUUGUGAGGCUGCGGCUGCUAGUGCACUUUCACUGUUUGUACGCCACCGCCGUUGAGCGAGCGUCCGUCAGGCUGGCGUGUGAAGCCUUGUUCCUUUACGGGAACAGGUGUCUUACUGCUGGCUAUAUUGACGCGUUCGCACCUCAACUGGUCAUGUCAGCGUGUGCCAGCGUAUUGCGUUGGGCUCGUUCACCCUGUGUGUGCGUCGGAGAUGACAAGCUUGCUUGGCUCACUGGCGUAUGCUAGGAAUGUGCGGGUUUGCAACGUAGGCACAUUGUCGAUUCGGUGGCGAGUAGACGGCUGCCCAUCUAACCCGUCUUGAAACACGGACCAAGGAGUUCAACAUGCGCGCUAGUUGUUGGGAUUUGAUAAACCCGCUAGCAAAGUGAAAGCAAGUCACAGUGUUACGCUGUGGAUUGGCGUGAUCCCGUCACCGGUGCGUAGAAAUGCRUGCUGGCCGGGCGCAUCGCCGGCCCGUCAUGAGCUCAAGUGGCUGUGGCGGAGCCUGAGCGUGCACGUUGAGACCCGAAAGAUGGUGAACUAUGCCUGGGCAGGAUGAAGCCAGGGGAAACUCUGGUGGAGGUCCGUAGCGAUUCUGACGUGCAAAUCGAUCGUCUGACCUGGGUAUAGGGGCGAAAGACUAAUCGAACCAUCUAGUAGCUGGUUCCCUCCGAAGUUUCCCUCAGGAUAGCUGGCACUCGGAGAACGUAGUCUCUCCCGGUAAAGCGAAUGAUUAGAGGUCUUGGGGUCGAAACGACCUCAACCUAUUCUCAAACUUUAAAUGGGUGAGAAGUCUGGCUUGCUUAAAUGCUACUUGUAGCUGAAGUCUGGACGUUGGAUACGAGCGCCUAGUGGGCCACUUUUGGUAAGCAGAACUGGCGCUGUGGGAUGAACCGAACGCCGAGUUAUGGCGCCCGACGAGACGCUCAUCAGAUCCCAGAAAAGGUGUUGGUUGCUAUAGACAGCAGGACGGUGGCCAUGGAAGUCGGAACCCGCUAAGGAGUGUGUAACAACUCACCUGCCGAAGCAACUAGCCCUGAAAAUGGAUGGCGCUAGAGCGUCUGGCCUAUACUCGGCCGUUGCGGCAGUCUUGAUAUAAUCAUGCAGCAACGAGUAGGAGGGUCGCGGCGGUGGCGUCGAAGGCUUACGGGUGUGAACCUGGCUGGAGCCGCCGUCGGUGCAGAUCUUGGUGGUAGUAGCAAAUACUCAAGCGAGAACCUUGAGGACUGAAGUGGAGAAGGGUUCCAUGUGAACAGCAGUUGAACAUGGGUCAGUCGAUCCUAACGUAUCGGCGAAAGCCGUUCAGAAGCGGUGUGUAUCGGGMGGUUUAUYCGCCUGGCUCUCUGGUGUAUGGCAACAUGCAUUAGGUUCACUGCACCUACCGAAAGGGAAUCGGGUUAAUAUUCCCGAACCCGGCAUCGGAUAUUGGUCGUAGCGCAAGCUAUGGCUGUAUGUGCGGUAACGCAAAUGAACUCAGAGACGCUGACACGUGCCCUAGGAAGAGUUGUCUUUUCUUCAUAAGGCACAGGCUCCCUGGAAUCGGAUCAUCCGGCGAUAGGGAGAUGGUGACCGUAGAGCACCGCGGUUCUUGCGGUGUCUGGUGCGCACGUGUCGGUCCUUGAAAAUCUGAGGGAGAGUGUGAUUUUCGUGCCGGAUCGUACCCAUAUCCGCAGCAGUCUC
rnacentral:rRNA from 1 species